GUUCAUUGGCCUGUGAAACUGGCAAUAAAUCGAGUAUGGCGAUAAACUGAAAGACAUCAAGAUUUAUGGGGGAAGUCUGUUCACGAAUAAGCCUAUUCACAGGCGCUAUUUAGGAGUGCUGUAGCCUAUGUAGAGGUUUUGACCUAUGAACACGCAAAAUUAUUAAAAUAAGUUUACGAAUAUUUCACUUUCUGCUUAAUAUAAAUUAGAAUAAUAUGACCGCCAUUUUAUCUAGUUACAAGUCGAUCAAUCUUGUAUUUCCUAUUAAUUUUUCGAACUUAUCAUUUAAAUCAAUUAUUUUAUGGUGAGAUUUGAUUUAAAUGAUUACUUCGUUAGAAGAGUAAGAAGAAUUCGAAGAUUUACUAAGAAGAUAUUCACUAAUCAAUCUUCUAAAUUGUCAUAGAAGUAUAUUUGAAGGCAUAGCUUAAAAGAAAAAGUAUAUGUAUUUAUUUACAAAAUUAAUAAAUUCGCCAUCAGUCAUCGACCGCUCGAAGAAGAGGAUUUUGAUGACAAAAUAGAAUGUUUAUCCAUCAUCUGUGUGUAUUUUGCAUCCGUAAAUCGAUUCUGUCAUAAAUCUUCAACAGGAAAAUAUAAGAAAAGCCCGAAGACAAAGUUUCUAUUGCUGUUUACGUUCAAAAAUAAAACAAGAUGAAACAAAUAUUUGGAUUUUACAACAAAUCAAACGUAACUGCCUCUGCGUAGAGACGGUUGAUUGCCUGCUUUUGAAAGAGUACAACUGUUACAGAAGGCCAUUCAACCGUUAUAGAGAUUUUUAUAUCGUAGCUAUAGCUAUGUCAUCACCAGAAACCAUACAACAGCUCGAUAAAAAUGGCUGAAAGAACAAUACUUGUAAAUAUUAUAGGAUGGAUUAGAAAAUUCCUACUCUAAAUUCUGUAAAACCAGUAAAG